CUUGACUGUAUCCUGGAAUUGGGUUCGGGCUUUUCUUGCGCAGCCUAGGUGGGAGGCUAUGAAGAUUUCCUUCCGGGGAAGUUGGAGCCAUCAGUGAGAGACCACUCUGGAGAGGCUAGAAUCCUAAUGGUGAUCCUUGAAUCAGGACACUUGACAGUUUCAGGUGGGCAGUUUUUCUGGGGCGGAAGCCUCAUAAAGGGUAACUGAGGCGCGCAAAGGUCCCCUCAGUCUGGACGGAAAUCAGACAACGAGUGUAAAGGCAAAAGGGGGCUUGACUGCAAGGCCUACAAGUCGGGCAGGAGCGAAAGCUGGCCUUAGUGGUCCGACGGUACCGUGUGGAAGGGCCGUCGCUCAACGAAUAAAAGUUA
rnacentral:rRNA from 1 species